CAAUAGCGUAUGUUAAAGUUGUUGCGGCUAAAAAGCUCGUAGUUGGAUUUCUGUUGAGGGCAUCUGGUCCACUCUAUGAGUGUGUAUCUAGUUUGGCCUCGGCAUCCGCUCUGCAUACGUGUCUGCGCUUGAUUGCGUGGCGCGGAGGUAGGGCCUUUUACUUUGAGGAAAUUAGAGUGUUCACGGCAGGCAGUCGCCUUGAAUAUAUUAGCAUGGAAUAAUAACAUAGGAUCUUGGUUCUAUUUUGUUGGUUUCUAGAGCUAGGAUAAUGAUUAAUAGGGACAGUUGGGGGCAUUCGUAUUGCGGUGUCAGAGGUGGAAUUCUUGGAUUACUGCACGACGAACUACUGCGAAAGCAUUUGCCAAGGAUGUUUUCAUUGA
rnacentral:rRNA from 1 species